AGCGAACGCUGGCGGCAGGCCUAACACAUGCAAGUCGAACGCCCCUUCGGGGGAGUGGCGGACGGGUGAGUAACGCGUGGGAAUGUGCCCUUUGGUACGGAACAACUGAGGGAAACUUCAGCUAAUACCGUAUUUGCCCUACGGGGGAAAGAUUUAUCGCCAUUGGAGCAGCCCGCGUUGGAUUAUGUAGUGGGUGGGGUAAUGGCGCACCAAGCCGACGAGCCAUAGCUGGUCUGAGAGGAUGAUCAGCCACAAUGGGACUGAGACACGGCCCAGACUCCUACGGAAGGCAGCAGUGGGGAAUCUUACGCAAUGGGCGAUAGUCUGACGAAGCCAUGCCGCGUAAAUGAUGAAGGUCUUAGGAUUGUACAAUUCUUUCUCCGGAGGAGAUAAUGACGGUACCCGGAGAAGAAGCCCCGGCUAACUUCGUG
rnacentral:rRNA from 1 species